rnacentral:tRNA from 1 species
GGGGUUGUGGCUCAGUGGUAUAGUAUUUGCCUAGCAUGCAAGACACACUGGGUUCAAUCUUCAGCACCACA